UAACUUGGGAGUCAGAACAUGGGUGAUAAGGUCCGUGUUCGAAAGGGAAACAGCCCAGACCACCAGCUAAGGUCCCAAAAUAUAUGUCAAGUGGAAAAGGAUGUGGCGUUGCCCAGACAACUAGGAUGUUGGCUUAGAAGCAGCCAUCAUUUAAAGAGUGCGUAAUAGCUCACUAGUCGAGUGACACUGCGCCGAAAAUGUACCGGGGCUAAACAUAUUACCGAAGCUGUGGAUUGUCCUUUGGACAAUGGUAGGAGAGCGUUCUAAGGGCGUUGAAGCAUGAUCGUAAGGACAUGUGGAGCGCUUAGAAGUGAGAAUGCCGGUGUGAGUAGCGAAAGACGGGUGAGAAUCCCGUCCACCGAUUGACUAAGGUUUCCAGAGGAAGGCUCGUCCGCUCUGGGUUAGUCGGGUCCUAAGCUGAGGCCGACAGGCGUAGGCGAUGGAUAACAGGUUGAUAUUCCUGUACCACCUAUAAUCGUUUUAAUCGAUGGGGGGACGCAGUAGGAUAGGCGAAGCGUGCGAUUGGAUUGCACGUCUAAGCAGUAAGGCUGAGUAUUAGGCA
rnacentral:rRNA from 1 species